GUACGGGGGGGGGCAAGCGUUGUUCGGAAUUACUGGGCGUAAAGGGCUCGUAGGCGGCCAACUAAGUCAGACGUGAAAUCCCUCGGCUUAACCGGGGAACUGCGUCUGAUACUGGAUGGCUUGAGUUUGGGAGAGGGAUGCGGAAUUCCAGGUGUAGCGGUGAAAUGCGUAGAUAUCUGGAGGAACACCGGUGGCGAAGGCGGCGUCCUGGACCAACACUGACGCUGAGUGAGCGAAAGCCAGGGGAGCAAACGGG
rnacentral:rRNA from 1 species